rnacentral:rRNA from 1 species
AUUGAACGCUGGCGGCGUGCUUUACACAUGCAAGUCGGACGAGUGGCGGACGGGUGAGUAACACAUCGGAACGUACCGAGUAGUGGGGGAUAACUGUUCGAAAGGACAGCUAAUACCGCAUACUAUUCGAGCGGCCGAUGUCGGAUUAGCUGGUUGGGGGGGUAAAGGCGCACCAAGGCGACGAUCCGUAGCGGGUCUGAGAGGACGACCCGCCAAACUGGGACUGAGACACGGUCCAGACUCCUACGGGAGGCAGCAGUGGGGAAGUUUGGACAAUGGGGGCAAGCCUGAUCCAGCCAUGCCGCGUGUCUGAUGAAGGCCUUCGGGUUGUAAAGGACUUUUGGCAGGGAAGCGGUAUCUGAAGAAUAAGCACCGGCUAACUACGUGCCAGCAGCCGCGGUAAUUC